UACGUAGGGAGCAAGCGUUGUUCGGAUUUACUGGGCGUAAAGGGCGCGUAGGCGGCAAAUUAAGUCAGCUGUGAAAUCUCCGAGCUUAACUCGGAACUGUCAGCUGAUACUGAUCUGCUAGAGUGCGGAAGGGGCAAUCGGAAUUCUUGGUGUAGCGGUGAGAUGCGUAGAUAUCAAGAGGAACACCUGAGGUGAAGACGGGUUGCUGGGCCGACACUGACGCUGAGUGCGCGAAAGCCAGGGGAGCAAACGGG
rnacentral:rRNA from 1 species